CCUACGGGAGGCAGCAGUGGGGAAUAUUGGGCAAUGGGCGCAAGCCUGACCCAGCAACGCCGCGUGAAGGAAGAAGGCUUUCGGGUUGUAAACUACUUUUAAGAGGGAAGAGGAGAAGACGGUACCUAUUGAAGAAGACACGGCUAACUAGGUGCAAGCCGCCGCGGUAAUACGGAGGUGGCAAGCGUUGUCAGGAUUUAAUGGCGGUAAUGGGCGGGAAGCCGGGAAGACAAGUCAGAUGUGAAAUCCCGCGGCUCAACCGCGGAACUGCAUUUGAAACUGUUUUUGUUGAGUACCGGAGAGGUCAUCGGAAUUCCAUGUGUAGCGGUGAAAUGCGUAGAUAUAAGGAAGAACACCAGUGGCGAAGGCGGAUGACUGGACGGCAACUGACGGUGAGGUGCGAAAGCGUGGGGAGCAAACAGGAUUAGAUACCCCAGUAGUC
rnacentral:rRNA from 1 species